GUCCACGCCCUAAACGAUGUCUACUAGUUGUCGGGUUUUAAUUAACUUGGUAACGCAGCUAACGCGUGAAGUAGACCGCCUGGGGAGUACGGUCGCAAGAUUAAAACUCAAAGGAAUUGACGGGGACCCGCACAAGCGGUGGAUGAUGUGGAUUAAUUCGAUGCAACGCGAAAACCUUACCUACCCUUGACAUGGCAGGAAUCCUGAAGAGAUUUGGGAGUGCUCGAAAGAGAACCUGCACACAGGUGCUGCAUGGCUGUCGU
rnacentral:rRNA from 1 species